UACGGAAGGGGCAAGCGUUGUUCGGAAUCAUUGGGCGUAAAGGGCGCGUAGGUGGUCUUGUGUGUCUACCGUGAAAGCACACGGCUCAACCGUGUAACGUCGAUAGAAACUGCAAGACUUGAGGUUGGGAGGGGCUGGUGGAAUUCCCUGUGUAGCGGUGAAAUGCGUAGAGAUGGGGGAGAACACUUGUGGCGAAGGCGGCCAGCUGGACCAAAUCUGACACUGAGGCGCGACAGCGUGGGGAGCAAACAGG
rnacentral:rRNA from 1 species